rnacentral:rRNA from 1 species
GACGAACGCUGGCGGCGUGCCUAAUACAUGCAAGUGGGACGCAAGGAAACACACUGUGCUUGCACACCGUGUUUUCUUGAGUCGCGAACGGGUGAGUAACGCGUAGGUAACCUGCCUAUUAGCGGGGGAUAACUAUUGGAAACGAUAGCUAAUACCGCAUAAUAUUAAUUAUUGCAUGAUAAUUUAUUGAAAGAUGCAAGCGCAUCACUAGUAGAUGGACCUGCGUUGUAUUAGCUAGUUGGUAAGGUAAGAGCGUACCAAGGCGACGAUACAUAGCCGACCGGAGAGGGUGAUCGGCCACACUGGGACUGAGACACGGCCCAGACUCCUACGGGAGGCAGCAGUAGGGAAUCUUCGGCAAUGGACGAAAGUCUGACCGAGCAACGCCGCGUGAGUGAAGAAGGUUUUCGGAUCGUAAAGCUCUGUUGUAAGUCAAGAACGUGUGUGAGAGUGGAAAGUUCACACAGUGACGGUAGCUUACCAGAAAGGGACGGCUAACUACGUG